rnacentral:rRNA from 1 species
CAGCAAUGCCGCGUGGGUGAAGAAGGCCUUCGGGUUGUAAAGCCCUUUCGGCAGGGAAGAAAUCGGCGGGGCGAAUAACCCUGCUGGAUGACGGUACCUGCAGAAGAAGCACCGGCUAACUACGUGCCAGCAGCCGCGGUAAUACGUAGGGUGCGAGCGUUAAUCGGAUUUACUGGGCGUAAAGCGUGCGCAGGCGGCCCGUUAAGACAGGUGUGAAAUCCCUGGGCUCAACCUAGGAAUUGCGCUUGUGACUGGCGGGCUCGAGUACGGUAGAGGGGGGUGGAAUUCCUGGUGUAGCAGUGAAAUGCGUAGAGAUCAGGAGGAACACCGAUGGCGAAGGCAGCCCCCUGGGCCUGUACUGACGCUCAUGCACGAAAGCGUGGGGAGCAAACAGGAUUAGAUACCCUGGUAGUCCACGCCCUAAACGAUGGGUACUAGCCGUUUGGUGCGCGAUAGCGCUGAGUGGCGAAGCUAACGCGUGAAGUACCCCGCCUGGGGAGUACGGCCGCAAGGUUGAAACUCAAAGAAAUU